rnacentral:rRNA from 1 species
CCAUGCAAGUCGAACGGUAGCACAGAGAGCUUGCUCUCGGGUGACGAGUGGCGGACGGGUGAGUAAUGUCUGGGAAACUGCCUGAUGGAGGGGGAUAACUACUGGAAACGGUAGCUAAUACCGCAUAACGUCGCAAGACCAAAGAGGGGGACCUUCGGGCCUCUUGCCAUCAGAUGUGCCCAGAUGGGAUUAGCUAGUAGGUGGGGUAACGGCUCACCUAGGCGACGAUCCCUAGCUGGUCUGAGAGGAUGACCAGCCACACUGGAACUGAGACACGGUCCAGACUCCUACGGGAGGCAGCAGUGGGGAAUAUUGCACAAUGGGCGCAAGCCUGAUGCAGCCAUGCCGCGUGUAUGAAGAAGGCCUUCGGGUUGUAAAGUACUUUCAGCGAGGAGGAAGGCGAUACGGUUAAUAACCGUGUCGAUUGACGUUACUCGCAGAAGAAGCACCGGCUAACUCCGUGCCAGCAGCCGCGGUAAUACGGAGGGUGCAAGCGUUAAUCGGAAUUACUGGGCGUAAAGCGCACGCAGGCGGUCUGUCAAGUCGGAUGUGAAAUCCCCGGGCUCAACCUGGGAACUGCAUUCGAAACUGGCAGGCUUGAGUCUUGUAGAGGGGGGUAGAAUUCCAGGUGUAGCGGUGAAAUGCGUAGAGAUCUGGAGGAAUACCGGUGGCGAAGGCGGCCCCCUGGACAAAGACUGACGCUCAGGUGCGAAAGCGUGGGGAGCAAACAGGAUUAGU